rnacentral:lncRNA from 1 species
UCUUCCUCCUCUUUUCCCAUUCGCUUCCCCCCGCUCUUCUUUGGCGAGUGACGAGCCCCCAAGUUGAGGUGAUUUUCCCUUUCGAUUCACGCCAGUGCUUGUUUCUUUGGUUUGCGCACCGGCGUUGAUUUGUUGCUCUAAGUUGAUUAAUUUGGGUGUCUUCCUGUGAUUUGAAAUAUGUGAUGCCUUCUAAAUUUGUGAUUUCUAUCAGUUUCAAUUCUCCGGUUCGUAUAUGUGCGUAAGUUUAGGCGUAAUCCUCUAAAAUUGCUUUAGCUAAUCAUGCGCUUUUUGAUUAUCCCUUGAUUUAUCAACCUCCAAAUCAUUUUCACGGGCCGAAUUUCAUUCUAGGGUUUGAUGUUUGGGUAUUGUUCGUAUACUAUUUAGUUUUAUUUUCGUUGAUGAUAUUGAUCCCCAUCUCGAACUGCUUAGUUCAUCUACUAUUUAGUUUGUUCCAUGUGUUAUUUAUAGCUUCAUUCCUCCUUUUACUCAUGUCAUUGGACUAAGGAAUUUGCAGGAUGAUGUUUCUUCUGCAGCGAUAUGCAUCUGUUCUGUAAAUUGUUAUUUCGUAAUAAUCAUUUGCAGCAUCCUUGUAAAUUGUCUAAAUAUGUGUCCUAAAUCCUUAAUUUCCAUCUAUUUCAAUCCUUCUGGUUUGAAUCUGCAUCUAAUUUUAGCUUAAUUCUAUAAAAUUUGCAUCAGCUGGUAACGUACUUUCUAUGAUAUCUUGUUGUCAUUAGCUCCAAUUCUAAUUUACUGGCUAAAAAUUCUCUUCUAGGGUUUGCUAUUUUGUUAAUUUCCAUAGAUUAAUUAAAUUUUUGUUGUACUUGAUAAUGUCGUACCUAUCCAGAACUGUUUAGUAUGUAAAUUUUCGAUUACAGCUUCAUUCCUCUAUUUGAUUAUACUCCUUAGUUGGAAUAAGGAUUUUGCAGUGUUCUGUCUCAUCUGAACUGUGAUGCAUUUGUAUAUGAAAAAAAUGUGAUUUUGUAAUGCUAAUUUUUCUACAUACAAUGAAUUAACUGUCUUGUAUGUUCGAUUAGGUACCCUUAGUAAAGUAAUGCUUAGUUGUUUUUGAUUAUGGUUAAUUGCUUAGUUUCCCUUGCCUGAGUAUGGUGAAUAGUAAUUGAAAUAGUAUUCCAAUGUUUAUGAAUCCAUAAUCUAACUGGUGUUGAAUACCUACAUAUCUUUUAUGCUCUACUUACAUGUGGUAAAACAUUUUCUGUCAUUUAGAUGGCUCGUAAGAGGUGUCACGAAGUAUGUGAUUUUACCGACAGUGACUCUGAAUAAGAUGUUGAGACUCAUUCUGCUGAGGAAUAUUCAAUUCCAAAUGUUUAUCAUAUCAUCUUGAUUUGUUCUCUUGAUCCUAGUUCAUCAUAUCAUCUUCACUUGACAAGCUAUGCAUGGUGAUCUUCGAUUCCAAAUGUUUGUCAUGGUUAGUUCUAAUAAUAAAAUUUAUUUCUAGUAUAUUUUUUCUAUAGUAUCAAAUUUUCUUACCUCAGCUCCUUUAUGUUUCUCAUUCACUGGAAUCUGUUCAUAUUCUUCUAGCAUUGCAUGAUGGAGUUUGAUUUCAUGCAAUAUAGAAGAAGAAAAAUAACUAUGGUAUGUAUUGCCCUCUAUUUUUAAAUAAUGUCAUAUUUAUCUAAGUUCAUAUAUAUUCGUACCUCAAAUCCAUACCUUUUAGUAAGUAUGUCCAUGUAAGUUGCUGGUUCAUUAUGUAAAAUUUUAAGAACUUCUUUGUUUAAAUUAUCAUGAAACCAUUUGUAUACUAUUAUGUUACCAUGACUUAUAAAGUUUACCAUUUCAAAAUUAGCUUCAGGUACAUCCAAACAUGUCUCCUUCUCCUGUGAAUUUGUUAUCUGUUCCAUUAACAACCCAGUGUCUGUACCCUGCAAGUUCAAUGCAAUUCAAUCAGUAUUUAGAAUCAUCAUGUUUUCCAUUUAUUCUCAGUCACGAAUAUAUACCUGUUGACUGUUAAAUAAUGUGUUUAGAUAGUCAUGUGGACUAUGUGUUUCAACAUGCCCAUGAAUUUCUAAGUUCACCCCCUGUGUAUUGAAAUGCAUCAUUUUAAAAAUUUAUUAUGAAUUAGUUUAAAACAUUUGAUUUGGAAAUGUGUACAUUUUAAACAUUUACUUGGAUGAAUCUUAUAUACAAGCAUCUACCUGUACUGUCUGAUACAUGCCUGACUUUCCUUUGUUUUGUAAUUCAAAUUCAUCCUUCUAUUUGAUUCCAACAAGCUACUGCUUUGUCUGUAUUGUUCCUGAAAUAUUUUGCAAUACAUCUAACUGACAGUUCAUAUGUACUCGAUAUUAAUAAGCAAUACUACUAGCAUUCGAGAUCUAUGCAUAUGUGAAUAACUAUUUUUCAUACAAGAGUUUAAUAUCAUAUCUAGUCAACCUUUGCAUCUAUACCUUUUUCUGUUUUCGGAUCAUGCCAAGCUCUAUAUUCCCCUAAUGAAUAUAUUAUUUUCUAAAUCCCUAUGAAGCUAAUCAUAGUGUCAUUUUAAUGCAGUUGACCCCAAGCUAACUAUUUUUGACAUUCUUUAAUUCUAUAAUAUGAGCAUGAGAUAUGUUGUCAGAUAUAAUUUGUGUUCUAUACUAUUUACAGUUCUAACAUUAGUCAUUUACAGUAGUUUAGAAACUGUAAAUAUAUCAUUUAGUCCUGUAAAUAAAGAUAUUUUAGUUGGGUUUGCUAACUCAAUGUUGGAAAAUAAUUCUGGUCUGCUUGGGGUUGCUACAUCAAUGUAAGUAAAUACUAUUGAUAUUGGACUAAGGUUUUCAUCUGAGGGGUUUCCACUUUAUUAAAAUAAUUUAUUAUUUGACUGACCAUAGAAAAAAUCUGUUAAGCUGUUUAAUUUAGAUUUUCAUCAUAUUUUAGAUCUGGAUUUUUGAAUAAGGUUAGAGUUUUUACUCAAACAAAGUAGUAUCUAUUUUUCCUCUUCACUAUUUUUUGGUUAUGUUUUGCACUUUCAAUUUGGAUGUGUUCCAAUUAUUGAUAAGUACAGGUAAAUUUCAAUGUAGCUUUCAUUAUCAGAUAAAAUAUCCUAUGCUAUUUAUAAUGUUAACUUUAUUCAUUUACAGUGCUUUAGAAACUUUAAAUUGUAUUUUUAAGUCCUAUAAAUAAGAUGAUAUUUUUAAAGAUUAAAGAUAAUUUGAUUGCAUUUGCUCACUUAAUGUAAAAAAUAAUCUGGAGGGUUUGCUAUCUCGAUGUAGGAAAGGUUGGGUUUUGCAUUUUAGUGGGCCACUGGAGCCUAAAAUUUGUUAAUCUGGUGGUUAGCUUGACCCACUUCCAAAAAUUAUUUGUUAUUUGACUGACUAUAGAAAAAAUAUGUUAAGCUGUUUGACUUUUGGGUUUCACCAUUAAUGUAAUCAUGUUUUUUGCGUCAUACUUAGCUUUUAGGUUAGAUUCUUGUUUGUUGCUCUGUUAUUUAAGCUGGUUUUUCUUUACUGUUUUGUUUGAAGCAUUGUUUAUACUAGGAUGUGGAUACAUAUCAUUUCAUUCAUACUUGUCCUAAUUAAGCUUUCUAUCCCUUUUCUAGGUCUAUGGCACAAGUGUUUUUCUUAAUUUUGAGUUUGGAUUAGAGGUAUUACUCAGUGUAGGAUAAUUAAAUUUGUAAAUGACCUGUUGUUUCUAAAUUAGAUACUAAAUUUGUGUGCUUAAGCAUUUAUAGUUUUUAGAUCACUAAGUGACUGUGAUGGCGUUACUGUUAAUUCCAUUAUUAUGCCUGUAAUUGAAAUUUGUGGGUUUUAUGUUAUUUCUGUAGGCUAGGUUUUCAUCAGAGGGGGUUUCCACUUUUCUAAAAUUAUUUGUUAUUUGAUUGACCAUUUAAAAAUCUGGUAAGCUGUUUAAUUUGGGUUUUUCUAUCAAACUAAUAUUGCUAUUUGCAUCAUAUUUUCAGCUUAUAUCUGAAAUUUCUAUUCUGUUCAUUAGGGAUAGCUUCAUAUGUAGGUUUGACUGGUUUUAUUUUCAAUUUGCUAGAUACUUGUGGUAAUCCAGAUCCUAAUUCUUUUUCUGUUUGCAUUGCAACAACAUCGUCUUGGUGAAAACGCUUUUGCAGGAAAGAUGUUCCGAUCACUCGUGACAACAUGACCUAUCUAGGUAUAAAAGAUGGUCCUCAAGACUGCCUUGUUCUAGCUUGGUCUGCUACUGAUGAAAACAACAUGUUCAUGACCACAAUUCGUGCUUUGGAGAAGUUGGUUGGUUCUGUAGAGGUUGCGUUGUUCAGGAUUGCA